rnacentral:rRNA from 1 species
UACGUAGGGUGCAAGCGUUAAUCGGAAUUACUGGGCGUAAAGCGUGCGCAGGCGGUUCGUUGUGUCUGCUGUGAAAGCCCCGGGCUCAACCUGGGAAUGGCAGUGGAAACUGGCGAGCUGGAGUGUGGCAGAGGGGGGUGGAAUUCCGCGUGUAGCAGUGAAAUGCGUAGAGAUGCGGAGGAACACCGAUGGCGAAGGCAGCCCCCUGGGCUGACACUGACGCUCAGGCACGAAAGCGUGGGGAGCAAACAGG